ACCCGGGUGGCUCAGUUGGUUGAGUGUCCGACUUUGGCUCAGGUCAUGCUCUCACGGUUUGUGGGUUCAAGCCCCACACUGGGCU
rnacentral:tRNA from 1 species